UACGGAGGGUGCAAGCGUUAUCCGGAUUCACUGGGCUUAAAGGGAGCGUAGGCGGGCUGGUAAGUCAGUGGUGAAAGCUCCGGGCUUAACUCGGAAACUGCCGUUGAUACUAUCAUUCUUGAAUAUUGUGGAGGUAAGCGGAAUAUGUCAUGUAGCGGUGAAAUGCUUAGAUAUGACAUAGAACACCAAUAGCGAAGGCAGCUUGCUACACAAUUAUUGACACUGAGGCUCGAAAGCGUGGGGAGCAAACAGG
rnacentral:rRNA from 1 species